GAGUUUGAUCGUGGCUCAGGAUGAACGCUAGCUACAGGCUUAACACAUGCAAGUCGAGGGGCAGCAUUUCAGUUUGCUUGCAAACUGGAGAUGGCGACCGGCGCACGGGUGAGUAACACGUAUCCAACCUGCCGAUAACUCGGGGAUAGCCUUUCGAAAGAAAGAUUAAUACCCGAUGGUAUAAUCAGACCGCAUGGUCUUGUUAUUAAAGAAUUUCGGUUAUCGAUGGGGAUGCGUUCCAUUAGGCAGUUGGUGAGGUAACGGCUCACCAAACCUUCGAUGGAUAGGGGUUCUGAGAGGAAGGUCCCCCCACAUUGGAACUGAGACACGGUCCAAACUCCUACGGGA
rnacentral:rRNA from 1 species